UUUUCUAAUAUUUUGGAAGCAGACCCCAAAAACUCUAGAAGCCUAGGUGCUCCUCUACCCAUUCAUAGUCUACAAGCACAGACUCCAAUAUAAGACACUUCACCUCAAAUCCACAUUCCUAAAGCCUUCAUAGUCUACAAGCACAGACUCCAAUAUAAGACACUUCACCUCAAAUCCACAUUCCUAAAGCCUUCAUAGUCUACAAGCACAGACUCCAAUACAAGACACUUCAACUCAAAUCCACACUCCUAAAGCCUUCAUAGUCUACAAGCACAGACUCCAAUAUAAGACACUUCACCUCAAAUCCACAUUCCUAAAGCCUUCAUAGUCUACAAGCACAGACUCCAAUAUAAGACACUUCACCUCAAAUCCACACUCCUAAAGCCUUGAGCAGAGCCUAAUCCUGUCAGUUUCUUGCUGUGUCAAGCUUAAGUACAGAGCGAAUUGUAGUCUCAUUUUGCAGAUACUUUUACACUCAACUGACAAAUGUUUAUGCUUCACGCACAACACACACACACACACACGCACGCACACACACAAUCAAUUAUUCCCCUUUGUAUCAUCCUUUUCCUCUCUGCUGCCCUCUCUCCAUCUCAAAUGCUCUUCAAGUGCAUAUUGCUUGCGUCUCCUUUGUCACCCCCCCCCCCCCCCCUCUCUCUCUCUCUCUCUCUCUCUCUCUCUCACGCUCACUUUCGCAUUCUUUCACUCUCCUCUCCCUGCUCUCCCGUAUGUGCUCCCCCUCCAUCUUUUCUCUCUCUUCAUUCCCUUUUCACUUUGUUUAAUUUUUGCCUCUCACACUUUUUCUCAUCAAAAGUGUUGUUGUUUUUCGUAUUUUCCCUGUAUGCCAACAGUAUUCUAUCAAUCAUACACUACCCAAUGUAUAGCAUAUAACAAAAUAUCCCAAACAAGCUAUGGUUUGCAAGUUCAUGUGAUUUUAUUAUCAGCAUUAUUACCAAGACUAUUAGUUAUUCCCCUUAUACCAUGCUUACAUUGUCUUGUUGGUGGUACUUUUCUUUAGGAAAAAAAAGCAAAACAGAGAGAACAUUUUUAAUUUGAAGCUUAUGAUGAAAAGAUGUAUUAUUGUGCUAGAUUUUAAGGUUGGUGUACAGUUAGCCCUCAAUAUAUUUGAAAGAUGUAUAAUGAAUAAAAACAUGGAAGAAACAGAAA